rnacentral:rRNA from 1 species
AUACGGAGGAUCCGAGCGUUAUCCGGAUUUAUUGGGUUUAAAGGGUGCGCAGGCGGCCAUUUAAGUCAGCGGUUAAAUCGUGGGGCUCAACCCCAUUCUGCCGUUGAUACUGGGUGGCUUGAUUGCGGUCGAGGUUGGCGGAAUUCGUUGUGUAGCGGUGAAAUGCAUAGAUAUGACGAAGAACACCGAUUGCGUAGGCAGCUGACCAGAUCGCAAAUGACGCUCAUGCACGAAAGUGCGGGGAUCGAACAGGAUUAGAUACCCUGGUAGUCCGCACAGUAAACGAUGAAUACUUGUUUUCGGCGAUUUAAUGUCGGAGGCAAAGCGAAAGCGAUAAGUAUUCCACCUGGGGAGUACGCCGGCAACGGUGAAACUCAAAUGAAUUGGCGGGG